GUUAAGGUCAAACACGAAACAUGACAACUUCGUGUAGGUUCGUGUCGUGUUAUCGUGUUAUCGUGUCAGAAUUGCCAGCCCUAGGUUUAGGACAAAAAAACCAAAUCUUUUUUCCAAUUUUUCAAAUCGAGUCAGGUCCAAAUCAGUAUCAGGAAACGAGACCACAAACCGGUAUACCAACUGGCUGGUUUAGAUUAAGUCCAAAUUGGGCCAAACCCGUUAUUUUAUACCUCUAGCCCAAACCCACAAACACUAUAUAGACCUACAAACCCAGAUCUAUCGGCCCACUAAGCAUUAGGGUUCGCUAAAUAACCCCCACAACAUCCAUAACAUCCUGAUCUCUUCACAAUCUAUCAGCGUCGGCUGCUAGGGUUCCAUAACCUAACCAGAAAAGUCACAACUUUCGGUUUCCGAUCACCAUGAGGGCCAAGUGGAAGAAGAAGAGAAUGAGGAGGUUGAAGAGGAAGCGCCGAAAGAUGAGGCAGAGAUCUAAGUAAUCUGUUUAUCGGGAAUAAUAUGGUACCAGUAAUCGUCAGUUUAUGUUUUGUGUUUUCUGUUUGAAGUAUGAUGUUUGAACUUAUCGUAACGUUGUAGGUUUUUUGUUGGAUUGAGUUUUAUGACUUUUAUGAUAUGAAUUUAGCUUAAAAUGUUAUGGUUCUGCAUA